UUUUCGGUUUUAUGAUCCGAGAUGGAAAAGUCAAGACUGACAUUUAUGUCAAAUUACAGAUGCCACAAACUUUGUCUGCAAUUGCAACGGAAUAUUCCUGCAUGGUUUAUAAGACGAUGGAUGCCACAAACCUUGUCUGCAGAGUGCAACCUUGUCCGCAAUUGCAACCGAAGAUUCUCAUAAGUUAUGAUUUGCAAGAAGAAGGCUUUCAGUUGUCCAGGCCAGGCCAGGUGACCAAUGACGAUGAUAGAUCGGGUUCGAUUCAAGCUGUACGCUUGGUGUAUUUGGUUAUCGUGACUGGCGACUUGAGUCUAUCUCAUCUCAUGUCCAAAGCGCGGUGGCUGGGUCCCAGGCAUGCUUGCCACUUUGUUCCACGGUCCUCAUCUAAGUUUCGACGGUGAUGACAUGGACUUAGGUUCAGGGUAUGUGUUCCCGUUGAGUCAUUGUGGUUGAUUGAUGGGGGCAAUAAGAGUUGCGUGUCGCUAGUCAUUCAAUUGGUCCCCUUGUUUUAGAGUGUUGGCGGGAUAAGUCUUACGAAUGUUAACAAUAGUAAGCAAUAGUCGGCCGGCGAUCCCCUACCUGAUCUCGAGGGGGAUGGAAUGACUGGGGUUGAGACCUGUUGUUAGCCUGCGGAAUUUCGUCGGACGAAAUGUCAGGCGUGUCCGUGUGGUACUUGUGCUAAACCAGUUUAGUACUGACAAAGACAUUGGGCUCUUUGGAUAACAACAGUGUUCUUGACCUCCUUGUGCUCCACAAAGCUUAUAUAUACACCCGCUGAAAUCGACAUGACGGCGAUGAAGAAGGAGAGCCGGCCUCCAGCUUGUCAGCCAAGAAGACACUGGACUGGAAGGAUGCAUUGUUGCUGCCAAUGUUGGAUCCAAACGGGCCCGGGCCAACAUUGUACAAGGGCCACAAGGACAAGGGACACAAGGACAAGGGACACUAAAGACGGAUGUUGCAGCCCACAGGCCCUCUGCAGAUUGAGAUGAUGGCUGUCGAGAAGACCCAACCACUCAAGCAAGAUCUACAAUUCUUACUAUGAUAGACGGGACUCUCAAAGAUUUUGAUGACGAAGGAAUCCAACGCAUACACGUCGCUCACAGAUACGGGCAGACGACUGAGAGUCGAGUGGAUUCAGUGGAUCGAAUGGUUGCGCUGAGGGAUGUCCAUGUGCAGGAUUGACGAACCACAGUUCAGCAAAUGAUGCCUUGACAGACCAAUUCAAGGAGAGCCUUCGCUAACAUCGUGAAGGGAACGUGUUUGCUGUAUGGAUGGAUUGUACACUUAGAUGUCCGUCAUUCUUAUAGACUAUAAUGACAAUGUUCUAAUAGACUAUAAUGACAUUCCAAGGGACUCUCUGGACUUAAGGAAAGCUACGGACACAGAGCCCUGACAUGAUAUCCUGCAGCCACCAUGAGGACAGCCUAUCUCAUACCUUCGGAAGGAUGCCAUCACACGCAUGAUGAGCCAUCCCACAGAAGGGAGAAGGAUGUUGUUGACCAAGCACAUCCCAGCCAUGCUCCCAUCGCCGUCAAGUAACAGUACGACGGUUAGAUUGUAUUUUGUCACCGUAGGCCUUAUCGUUUUAUCAAAAUAUCUGAUUGAAAGGUGAUUUAAUGAAAAUUCUAAUUUUUCUGAUGGUGAAAAGGCAAAUAUUUACCUUGCUUAUGACUAGCAUAGAUUCUUUUAAUCUAUGCUUGGUUAUGACUUAUGCCAUGGUUCAAAAUCUUACACUUAUCAAAAGAAGGAAUUGAAAUUAUAAUUUAUAUGGGGGGGGGGGUUGUUUCUGGCUAACAAGGGAGCCAAUAAGGCUCACCGAACCCAAACAAAAUAAUUUUGAAGCAAACUUUUGUGCUUAAGAUAGAAGGAAGAACAAUUUAGGUUGGGUGGGUUGUUUGUGGCUACCAGAGGAGCCAACAGCCGCCUUGGGCAUAUCAGGACCCUGAAAUUUUUUUCAGGCAAAAGUUAUUUUUCUGCUUAAAAAAUCACCGAAUUCAUCAGAUAUUCAUUUGAUUAUAUCCAUCCCUUUAGACAUGGGGUCCAUGUGUUCUUGUUUCGCUGACCCCACGAAACAAGCACACAUGUGUCUGAUGGAACCAUAGGCCUUUCAUGCUGUUUCUCGAUCUCAUCAGUACCACAGAGUCAACUGACCGGGCCUAGGCUUCGUUGCCCUGGACCCUCUAUCACACUGGCUGGAUCAAUUGCUCAGUAAUGUACUUUCAUGCUCGAGACAACUGACCAACAGUGAUAUGUUGAAUUUGAAUUUCCUCCUUCAUAAUUUUCUACCUGGGCAAUAUCCGGGUAGCAACAAAUCUUGAAAUACCAAUACGUCUUUACAAUUGAACUAGAACAGUUUGUUAAACUCUCACUGUUUUAUUGAAAAUGAAGCUUGCCAGAAUAUCAAAAUGUUGAAAUUUUUUAUAUUAAAUUUGACUAACAAGACUGAUCCUACCCUAGUGGUCACACAGUUCAGUCUUUUUUCAUUUUUAUUCAAAAUACCUUUCAUUGUAAAGGCAAGGUCAUGAUCUGCAGGUUGGGAAAGUAUCUUCUAAACCCGUCAUGACAAUUUUGGUUUGACUUGAUACCGAAUUGAUCGAGAAAAGUGUCAUUUAAAAACGUCAACUUUUAUACGUUUUUGUCCUGUAUGAAUGUAUUUGUAAAUCCUGUAUGUAAACUAAAUGUUUGUAAAAUGUCUAAAUAUAUGAGAUCUAGACUCCAUGACUUGACAAAAAGUAUGGCAAACCCAACUUUUAGUCUUUGCCCUGUCAAGGUCACCUCUUUUGUCAUGCAAAUAACAUGUCAGAAGUGCUUCUUUUGUCAUGCUUUGUGGCAGCCAGCUCUGUCCAGUGGCCAUGAGAAAUGUGGUUCUUUUGUUAUUUAAAUUGUGUCCUGCAAGUCAAUAGCAGUGACCAAACCUAUUGUCAGCUAACAUGACUCACCUGAAGGCAUGCACAAUAGGUUUUAAUACAAUAGCUAUCCAUGUGUAAUAAACAUGAUGAAUGCAUGAAGAGGUUUAGUGCUAACUCAAACCAUUGUGGUGGAGUAGUUGAGUCUAUUCUGUUUGAUCUCAAUUUAGCAUUGUGUUGCAAGGAUACUUAUCAGUGUUUCUUUCUGACAUCUUGUAAAGAAGUUGACCAUGUCUUAAAGAGAUAGUGCUACUGUCCUAUCUCUUGGUCCUCUUCUUGUAUUGGGCUUUCGGAGUGGUGCAGCAAAAAAAAAGGACGAUCAUCAUUGUAUAAUGUACAAUGUAUGUACUCAUUUAUUAAACAUAAGCGCCUGUCACCUGUGUGAUGGAGAUGGCGACUCCCUCCGAUUGCGUAGGUUUUCUCCCGGUAUGCGGGUUUCCUCCUACAUGACAUUCCAAUUCGUCAUGUGUCUUCCUUGGAAUGUAAAACA